UACGGAGGGUGCGAGCGUUAAUCGGAAUUACUGGGCGUAAAGCGCACGCAGGCGGUUUGUUAAGCUAGAUGUGAAAGCCCCGGGCUCAACCUGGGAUGGUCACUUAGAACUGGCAGACUAGAGUCUUGGAGAGGGGAGUGGAAUUCCAGGUGUAGCGGUGAAAUGCGUAGAUAUCUGGAGGAACAUCAGUGGCGAAGGCGACUCCCUGGCCAAAGACUGACGCUCAUGUGCGAAAGUGUGGGUAGCGAACAGG
rnacentral:rRNA from 1 species